rnacentral:rRNA from 1 species
AUUGAACGCUGGCGGCAGGCCUAACACAUGCAAGUCGAGCGGAUGAGAGGAGCUUGCUCUUUGAUUUAGCGGCGGACGGGUGAGUAAUGCCUAGGAAUCUGCCUGGUAGUGGGGGACAACGUUUCGAAAGGAACGCUAAUACCGCAUACGUCCUACGGGAGAAAGUGGGGGAUCUUCGGACCUCACGCUAUCAGAUGAGCCUAGGUCGGAUUAGCUAGUUGGUGAGGUAAUGGCUCACCAAGGCGACGAUCCGUAACUGGUCUGAGAGGAUGAUCAGUCACACUGGAACUGAGACACGGUCCAGACUCCUACGGGAGGCAGCAGUGGGGAAUAUUGGACAAUGGGCGCAAGCCUGAUCCAGCCAUGCCGCGUGUGUGAAGAAGGUCUUCGGAUUGUAAAGCACUUUAAGUUGGGAGGAAGGUCAGUAGCUUAAUACGUUGCUGAUUUGACGUUACCGACAGAAUAAGCACCGGCUAACUCUGUGCCAGCAGCCGCCGUAACAC